GUGGAGCUGAGCAGGAUUCCUAAGAUGGAACCGGAUGACUCGAAGAGUUGUGUUAGGACGGCAGCUAUACAUCAGUGACGAUGACCUAAACGGCCUCCACCAGAUGGGUCGGAGUCCACAGAGGCUGAGGCAGGAUGACACGACUCUGUGAAUAUUUGCCGUGGAGCUUCCACCAUCUCCUUCCUCCUCCUCAUCCUCCGGAGAGCAAACAAGUCCUGUUCUCCUUCACUGCCUCAAACAAGGUCAAAUAUAUUUCAGGAUGAGGUCUGGGAAACCGGUCCCCCACACACACACACACAAGACAUAAAAAAAAUAAAUAAUAAAUAAAAAAACGAAACGGUACCACAUGGCCCUUUUAUUAUUUAUUUUUCAUCAGGAGUGGAUAAGAACCCGAGCGCAGUGUCAGGCUGACGGGGCUUGUUGGAGUAAAGG